rnacentral:rRNA from 1 species
UACGUAGGCAGCAAGCGUUGUUCGGAGUUACUGGGCGUAAAGGGUGUGUAGGCGGUUGUUUAAGUUUGGUGUGAAAUCUCCCGGCUCAACUGGGAGGGUGCGCCGAAUACUGAAUGACUAGAGUGUGGGAGAGGUGAGUGGAAUUCCUGGUGUAGCGGUGAAAUGCGUAGAUAUCAGGAGGAACACCGGUGGCGAAGGCGGGUCUCUGGGCCGAUACUGACGCUGAGGAGCGAAAGCGUGGGGAGCAAACAGG